AUUCUUUUAGUAUUGACCCAAUACAAUUGACUUCCAAUCAAUUAACUUCGGUAAAACCGAAAAAGAAU
rnacentral:tRNA from 1 species